rnacentral:rRNA from 1 species
GAUGAACGCUGGCGGCGUGCUUAACACAUGCAAGUCGAACGAAGCAUUUCGGUCUUAAUCUUCGGAAGCGGACUGAUCUGACUGAGUGGCGGACGGGUGAGUAGCGCGUGGGUAACCUGCCCUGUACAGGGGGAUAACAGUUAGAAAUGACUGCUAACACCGCAUAAGCGCACAGGAAGGCAUCUUUCGGUGUGAAAAUAUUUAUAGGUACAGGAUGGGCCCGCGUCUGAUUAGCCAGUUGGCAGGGUAACGGCCUACCAAAGCAACGAUCAGUAGCCGGCUUGAGAGAGUGAACGGCCACAUUGGGACUGAGACACGGCCCAAACUCCUACGGGAGGCAGCAGUGGGGAAUAUUGCACAAUGGGGGAAACCCUGAUGCAGCGACGCCGCGUGAGUGAAGAAGUAUUUCGGUAUGUUAAGCUCUAUCAGCAGGGAAGAAAAUGACGGUACCUGACUAAGAAGCCCCGGCUAACUACGUGCCAGCCGCCGCGGUAA